rnacentral:rRNA from 1 species
AGGAAAGCCCCCGCCCUCGUCCUCAAGCUGGACUUCGCUAAAGCCUUCGACUCUGUUAAUUGGGCGUGCCUUCGUCGAGUCAUGGAGGUGCGCGGCUUCCCUGAGCAAUGGUGCGCGUGGGUGGACGCCAUCCUCCGUUCAUCACGCUCCGCGGUGCUGCUCAACGGAGUGCCGGGGGCGUGGUUCCCCGUCAGGUGUGGGCUUCGCCAAGGAGACCCGAUGUCGCCCUACCUCUUCCUCUUGGUGGCGGAUGUCCUGCAACGGAUGGUGCGGCGCGACCCCCUGCUCCAACACCCGGUGGUGGAGGGGGGAGCACCGAUUGUGCUUCAAUACGCCGAUGACACACUUAUCGUCAUCCGCGCAUCGGUGGAGGCGGCGGCGCGGCUACGACGCAUCCUGGACGACUUCGCCGCGGCCACCGGGCUGGGGAUCAACUACGGCAAAAGCACCCUGGUGCCGAUUCACGUCGCGGACGAGGUGGUGGCUGGGGCUGCGGGGGCCCUCUCCUACUCUAUACAGGGGUUCCCGCAACCCUACUUGGGCCUGCCGUUGUCGUGGGACAAGCUGACGGCGGCCGACUUCGCGCCGAUGCUUGCUAAGGUCGAUGCCUACCUGGCCAGGUAG